rnacentral:rRNA from 1 species
GGCGUAGGCGGCCCGGCAAGUCGGGUGUGAAAACCCUUGGCUCAACCAAGGAACGGCGCCCGAUACUACCGGGCUUGAGGUGCUGAAGGGCGACUGGAACUCUCGGUGGAGCGGUGAAAUGCGUAGAUAUCGAGAGGAACGCCAAUGGUGAAGACAGGUCGCUGGUGGCAUCCUGACGCUGAGGCCCGAAAGCCAGGGGAGCAAACGGGAUUAGAUACCCCGGUAGUCCUGGCCCUAAACGAUGCACACUAGGUGGGGGAGGCUCUGACAGCCAUCCCUGCCGCAGGGAAACCGGUAAGUGUGCCGCCUGGGAAGUACGGUCGCAAGGCUAAA